rnacentral:rRNA from 1 species
ACGGUAACUGGACUUCCGUCGCUGACGAGUGGCGCACGGGUGAGUAACGCGUGGGUUACCUGCCCAUAAGUGGGGAACAACUUGGAUAAAUCCAAGCUAAUACCGCAUAAUACCUUCGGGUUAAAGAGGGGGAUCUUCGGACCUCUCGCUUAUGGAUGGUCCCCCGUCUGAUUACCAAGUUGGUAGGGUAAUGGCCUACCAAGGCAAUGAUCAGUAUCUGGUCUGAGAGGAUGAUCAGUCACACUGGAACUGAGACACAGUCCAGACUCCUACGGGAGGCAGCAGUGGGGAAUUUUGCACUAUGGGCGAAAGCCUGAUGCAGCUACGCCGCGUGCGGGAAGAAGGCCUUCGGGUUGUAAAUCGCUUUCUCCAGGGAAGAAGGAAUGAUAGCUAAUACCUCUCUGCCUUGACGGUACCUGUAGAAGAAGCACCGGCUAAUUUCGUGCCAGCAGCCGCGGUAAUACGAAAGGUGCAAGCGUUGUUCAGAUUUACUGGGCGUAAAGAGAUCGUAGGUGGCUUGUUAAGUCGGAUGUGACAUCCCGGGGCUCAACCCCGGAACUGCAUCCGAUACUGGCAGGCUUGAGUUUGGAGAGGGGUAAGCGGAAUUCCGUGUGUAGCAGUGAAAUGCGUAGAUAUACGGAGGAACACCUGAGGCGAAAGCGGCUUACUGGACCCAUACUGACACUGAGGAUCGAAAAGCGUGGGUAGCAAACAGGAUUAGAUACCCUGGUAGUCCACGCCCUAAACGAUGUCAACUAGCCGUUGCGGGUAUCGACCCCAUGCAGUGGCGCAGCUAACGCGAUGAGU